GAUGAACGCUGGCGGCGUGCCUAAUACAUGCAAGUCGAGCGAACGGACGAGAAGCUUGCUUCUCUGAUGUUAGCGGCGGACGGGUGAGUAACACGAGGAGAACCUACCUAUAAGACUGGGAUAACUUCGGGAAACCGGAGCUAAUACCGGACAAUAUUUUGAACCGCAUGGUUCAAAAGUGAAAGACGGUCUUGCUGUCACUUAUAGAUGGAUCCGCGCUGCAUUAGCUAGUUGGCAAGGUAAAGGCUUACCAAGGCAACGAUGCAUAGGCGACCUGAGACGGUGAUCCGCCACAGUGGAGCAGCGACGCGCAGCCGCCUCCUAAGGGAGGCAGGGAUAGAGAAACUUCCGCAAUGGGCGAGAGCGUAAGGAGGGAACGCGGCGAGAGUGAUGAAGGGCUGCGGAGCGUAAAACUCUGUUAUUAUGGAAGUACAUAUGUCUAUGUAUCUGUGCACAACUUGACGGUACCUACUCAGAAAGCAACGGCUAACUGCGUG
rnacentral:rRNA from 1 species